rnacentral:rRNA from 1 species
CAGCCGCCGCGGUAAUACGAAGGGUGCAAGCGUUACUCGGAAUUACUGGGCGUAAAGCGUGCGUAGGUGGUGGUUUAAGUCCGUUGUGAAAGCCCUGGGCUCAACCUGGGAAUUGCAGUGGAUACUGGGUCACUAGAGUGUGGUAGAGGAUAGUGGAAUUUCCGGUGUAGCAGUGAAAUGCGUAGAUAUAGGAAGGAACACCAGUGGCGAAGGCGACCACCUGGACUAAUACUGACACUGAGGUGCGAAAGCGUGGGGAGCAAACAGGAUUAGAUACCCCCGUAGUCCCUGUCUCUUAUAA